rnacentral:rRNA from 1 species
CACGUAGGGCGCAAGCGUUGUCCGGAUUUAUUGGGCGUAAAGAGCUCGUAGGCGGCUCGUUGCGUCGGCUGUGAAAACCCGCAGCUCAACUGUGGGCUUGCAGCCGAUACGGGCGGGCUGGAGUUCGGUAGGGGAGACUGGAAUUCCUGGUGUAGCGGUGAAAUGCGCAGAUAUCAGGAGGAACACCGGUGGCGAAGGCGGGUCUCUGGACAGUUCCUGACGCUGAGGCACGAAGGCCAGGGGAGCAAACGGG